UACGGAGGAUGCGAGCGUUGUUCGGAAUCACUGGGCGUAAAGCGCGUGUAGGCGGCCUUCUAAGUCCGAUGUGAAAGCCCGGGGCUCACCCCCGGAAGUGCAUUGGAUACUGGGAGGCUGGAGUACCGGAGAGGAGGGUGGAAUUCCUGGUGUAGCGGUGAAAUGCGUAGAUAUCAGGAGGAACACCUGUGGCGAAGGCGGCCCUCUGGACGGAUACUGACGCUGAGACGCGAAAGCGUGGGGAGCAAACAGG
rnacentral:rRNA from 1 species